CUAAUGACGAAGAUAUCAGAAAGAGGAUAAUAGAAACACAUGGUCUUAUGGUGCAUGUUGUGUACGGAAUGAAUAAUCAAGAUGCCACUGUAAGAUUAGCAGCUGUAAGAUGUUUGCACUCACUGUCUAGAUCGGUUCAGCAGUUGAGGACAACAUUUCAGGACCAUGUGGUGUGGCGGCCUUUAAUGCAAUUAUUGAAGGACUCUCCGGACACAGAGUUGCUGACUGUAGGAACUUCAACACUCUGCAA